GGGAAAAUCAGAUCCUGCACCACAUUCAGCCCAUGGAUCACUACCUGCAGAGAUCUGCGUGAGCAGCCUUUCCAUGCAAUAAAAGGAAAAAUGGGUGAUGGAGCGAGCUCUAACCUGUAUUUUUCAACAAUUUGUGCUGGACAGCAGAGAUUGUCAGAGGGGGCUUUAGUUUAUUUGCACACUGUUUCCAAAACAUUGUGGCAGAGCUCACUCAAGUGAACCUGCCAACGACAUCCCAGAAAAGCAGUCAGCAGUAUUUGGGAAGAUGGAGCGGCAGACAAACCUCAGUGCUAUUACCCAGCUUGGAAGUGGGCCACUGAGUGCUAUACAAAGGAUAAAGCCAAUUGUAAAGCCUAAGUCAGCGUCCAAAAGGACCCCUAGAGACAUAAAAUGAGAACCGGCACAUUAUGGUCUCCACUGAACUCACCACCACCAAAGGGGACACCCCAGCAUUGCCCAUUAGUUAAUAAGAAUCAGAAUGCAGGAGGAAACGAGGUGACUGCUGAAAUUCUGAGCAGGCUUCUGGGACAAUAAUCGGGGAAUGCUGCUAGUCAGGCUACCUUGAAGUCUGCAAGGAGUCUUGUACAAGUUUAUAGCAGGACUUCUGCAGCAAGAUCCUGAUCCCACCAGCAGCAAUGGGAAUUUUGCUACUAACUUCAGAGGAAGCAACUAUGACAUGAAGGUUUGCACAGAUUAGGUGCAUUCAGGAAAGCUCCUUUGCACGUGUCCCACUAGCAAGUCUCAGUGCUUUGAUUUAAGAAGUUUCUUUUUAAAUCAGAGGCAUAAUAAUCAUCACCAUGUACAGAAACAAAUUUUAUCAUAGGGGUCAUCUGGACAAAAUAUGAAAGGCAAAGAAGAAAAGCCAUAAAACACUCAACUGAAAGCCCCAAAAUCUCACUAGCAAAAGUUCCAGCUUCUGCCUUCUGCGUAAUUCUUGGUUUCUUUUCAACCUUCCACCCGUCCGCCUCAUCCUUGAAAACUGUCAUCAGCCAUUUGGCCACAGCUCAGUCUUUUAAUGCCAUUGUUGACAAUGCUACACCCAUAUUGAUUGUUGCUUUUAAUUAGCAUGGAGUGCACGGGGAGGAAUGAAAUUAGUUUGUUCAGUUUCAUUACACUCACAGCAUUAUGUGAUCCAAGUGUCAAUAAAUUAUCAUUCUUCUUAUUAAACAACAACAACUCUCUUUAUUAUCUAAAUUACAAAAGACUGCAUCACUUGGUUGCA